rnacentral:rRNA from 1 species
CUACGACACGUGUUACAAUGGUCGGUACAGAGGGCAGCGUACCUGGUGACAGGGAUGCUAAUCUCGAAAACCGGUCUCAGUUCGGAUCGAAGUCUGCAACUCGACUUCGUGAAGCUGGAUUCGCUAGUAAUCGCGCAUCAGCUAUGGCGCGGUGAAUACGUUCCCGGGCCUU